rnacentral:rRNA from 1 species
GACGAAUGCUGGCGGCGUGCUUAACACAUGCAAGUCGAACGAUGAACCCGGAGCUUGCUCCGGUGGAUUAGUGGCGAACGGGUGAGUAACACGUGAGUAACCUGCCCUUGACUCUGGGAUAACUGCGGGAAACUGUAGCUAAUACCGGAUACGACCCUCGGCGGCAUCGCCAGGGGGUGGAAAGAAUUUCGGUCAAGGAUGGACACGCGGCCUAUCAGCUAGUUGGUGAGGUAACGGCUCACCAAGGCGACGACGGGUAGCCGGCCUGAGAGGGUGACCGGCCACACUGGGACUGAGACACGGCCCAGACUCCUACGGGAGGCAGCAGCGGGGAAUAUUGCACAAUGGGCGCAAGCCUGAUGCAGCAACGCCGCGUGAGGGAUGACGGCCUUCGGGUUGUAAAGCUCUUUUGUCAGGGAAGAAACACCGGCUCUAACACAGUCCGGGAAUGACGGUACCUGAAGAAUAAGCACCGGCUAAC